rnacentral:rRNA from 1 species
CCUACGGGAGGCAGCAGUGGGGAAUUUUGCGCAAUGGGCGAAAGCCUGACGCAGCGACGCCGCGUGAGGGAUGAAGGUCUUCGGAUCGUAAACCUCUUUCAGCAGGGAAGAACGGUCACUGUGCUAAUCAUCAGUGAAUUGACGGUACCUGCACAGGAAGCACCGGCUAACUCCGUGCCAGCAGCCGCGGUAAUACGGAGGGUGCGAGCGUUAAUCGGAAUUACUGGGCGUAAAGCGCUCGUAGGCGGUAUGGCAAGUCAAGGGGGAAAUCCCCGGGCUCAACUUGGGAACUGCAUUUGAUACUUGCAAACUGGAGUGUGUGAGAGGAUAGUGGAAUUCCAGGUGUAGCAGUGAAAUGCGUAGAUAUCUGGAGGAACAUCAGUGGCGAAGGCG